ensembl:lncRNA
AAAUCAUUUAGGAUCAAACGUAAACUGCUUUCUGCGUGCACAUGCACAACCAACACAGGACAUUUCUGAUAUCAGCACCUGCAAAAUUUACAGCUUUUUUUAUUACAGGCCUUUAACUUGACAUCAUAUCAGAUUUCACAUAUACAGUAGAUAUGCAUAAUGUACAGUGUGUUGAAGUGUAUGGAAGUGUGUGGAGUGUGUGGAGUGUGUGGAAGUGUGUGGAAGUGUGUGCAGUGUGUGGGGUGUGUGGAGUGUGUGUGGAGUGUGUGUGGAGUGUGUUGAGUGUGUUGAGUGUGUGUGUGGAGUGUGUGUGUUGUGUGUGUGUGUGUGUGGAGUGUGUGUUGUGUAUGUGUUGUGUGUGUGUGGAGUUGUGUGUGGGAGUGUGUGUGUGGAGUGUGUGUGUGUUGUGUGUGUGUGGAGUGUGUGUGUGGAGUGUGUGUGUGUUGUGUGUGUGUGAGUUGUGUGUGUGGAGUGUGUGUGUGGAGUGUGUGUGUGGAGUGUGUGUGUGUUGUGUGUGUGUGGAGUGUGUGUGUGGAGUGUGUGGCUCCUCGGGUAGAAGAUCUCAGACUUAACCUUGAACUUCAGGAGGAAAUUAGAGAGUAAACUGAGAGACAGAGCUCUGGCUCAG